CAACCUGCCCACCACUUGGGGAUAACCUUGCGAAAGUAAGACUAAUACCCAAUGAUAUCUCUAGAAGACAUCUGAAAGAGAUUAAAGAUUUAUCGGUGAUGGAUGGGGAUGCGUCUGAUUAGCUUGUUGGCGGGGUAACGGCCCACCAAGGCGACGAUCAGUAGGGGUUCUGAGAGGAAGGUCCCCCACAUUGGAACUGAGACACGGUCCAAACUCCUACGGGAGGCAGCAGUGAGGAAUAUUGGUCAAUGGACGAGAGUCUGAACCAGCCAAGUAGCGUGCAGGAAGACGGCCCUAUGGGUUGUAAACUGCUUUUAUAAGGGAAUAAAGUGAGUCUCGUGAGACUUUUUGCAUGUACCUUAUGAAUAAGGACCGGCUAAUUCCGUGCCAGCAGCCGCGAUAAUACGGAAGGUCCGGGCGUUAUCCGGAUUUAUUGGGUUUAAAGGGAGCGUAGGCCGGAGAUUAAGCGUGUUGUGAAAUGUAGACGCUCAACGUCUGCACUGCAGCGCGAACUGGUUUCCUUGAGUACGCACAAAGUGGGCGGAAUUCGUGGUGUAGCGGUGAAAUGCUUAGAUAUCACGAAGAACUCCGAUUG
rnacentral:rRNA from 1 species